GAUGAACGCUAGCUACAGGCUUAACACAUGCAAGUCGAGGGGCAGCAUGGUCUUAGCUUGCUAAGGCCGAUGGCGACCGGCGCACGGGUGAGUAACACGUAUCCAACCUGCCGUCUACUCUUGGACAGCCUUCUGAAAGGAAGAUUAAUACAAGAUGGCAUCAUGAGUCCGCAUGUUCACAUGAUUAAAGGUAUUCCGGUAGACGAUGGGGAUGCGUUCCAUUAGAUAGUAGGCGGGGUAACGGCCCACCUAGUCUUCGAUGGAUAGGGGUUCUGAGAGGAAGGUCCCCCACAUUGGAACUGAGACACGGUCCAAACUCCUACGGGAGGCAGCAGUGAGGAAUAUUGGUCAAUGGGCGAGAGCCUGAACCAGCCAAGUAGCGUGAAGGAUGACUGCCCUAUGGGUUGUAAACUUCUUUUAUAAAGGAAUAAAGUCGGGUAUGGAUACCCGUCUGCAUGUACUUUAUGAAUAAGGAUCGGCUAACUCCGUG
rnacentral:rRNA from 1 species